rfam:Triticum urartu cultivar G1812 contig1001045, whole genome shotgun sequence.
CUUAUACUCCCUCCGUUCUGAAUUACUUGUCGUAGGUAUAGAUGUAUCUAGAUGUAUUUUAGUUCUAGAUACAUCUAUUUCUGCGACAAGUAACUUCUAGAUACAUUCAUUUUUGCGACGAGUAAUUUGGAACGGAAGGAGUAUAAG